rnacentral:rRNA from 1 species
UGCGUAGGCGGGUUUCUAAGUCAGAGGUGAAAGCCUGGAGCUCAACUCCAGAACUGCCUUUGAUACUGGAAGUCUUGAGUAUGGCAGAGGUGAGUGGAACUGCGAGUGUAGAGGUGAAAUUCGUAGAUAUUCGCAAGAACACCAGUGGCGAAGGCGGCUCACUGGGCCAUUACUGACGCUGAGGCUCGAAAGCGCGGGUAGCAAACA